CACGGGGGUUGCGAGCGUUGUUCGGAUUCACUGGGCGUAAAGGGUGCGUAGGUGGUGAGGUGUGUCGGAUGUGAAAUCUCGGAGCUCAACUCCGAAACUGCAUUGGAAACUACCUUGCUGGAGGGUUGGAGGGGGGACUGGAAUACUUGGUGUAGCAGUGAAAUGCGUAGAUAUCAAGUGGAACACCAGUGGCGAAGGCGAGUCCCUGGACAACUCCUGACACUGAGGCACGAAAGCUAGGGGAGCAAACAGG
rnacentral:rRNA from 1 species